UCCUUUGAAAAAAAAAAAAUCACUCUGUUCUUCCUUUAAUGUGAUUGGCCAUGGAAGGACUUCUGCCUAGUAACAAGAGAACAAAAUCACUGAUUGGUGGAUUACAAAAUUCGUCCUUUUGGUCUGUUUGGUCAAUUGGUUGCUGACACCACAUUUCAAGAGGAAGUUUUUCUUCGUGCUCUAUGUUCGAUGACAUGAGAUAAGAAGAUGUGGAAAUGUUUGCAUGGAGUUCAUCAGAAUUACGGACAAAAAUCUAAAUUCUAUGAAAACCUGGACAGACACAGUUCACGGUUUAUGGACCUUUUUAAAACCAGAAGGUCGACUCCUGGUCAGAACUUGAAGUUUUUACUGCAAAUAGAGUCAGACAAGCCAACUGAGGUCUGAACCCUUGUUCUUCGAGGAUUGCCUGUCAUGCUGGGAGAUGCAGACUCCUCUUUCUUCAUGUUAAGUGUCUGAUCAUCACAACACUAUCCUUGAUGUGCCAGUGGAAAUCUUAUUCGAGGACACUGAUCUUCAGCCCCCUAACUCCUUGCAUUUGACUUCUUCCUAUGGAACAAUUCUUGAUGGCCAAGUGGUGUUGGAAAAAUGUAGGACCUCCACAGGGCAUCUGUCUUCUCUUUGGUUUGAUUUAUGCACUAGACCUGAAUUACCCAAAAUCACUCGCCAACACAUUUGAUUUCAUCCAGCCUAUACUAAUGACAAUGGGAUAGAAUGCUCUCGAGUCUAGACUUCAGACUCUAGCUAACCAGCUUUUUGCUAAAGAAACGUCUCUGUGAUACUUUAAUACCACCCUUUGUAUUGGGAUUUUUCCACCAAUCGAUUUACUCCAUUUAUCCAUUUAUGAAGAAUAAAAAGUAUGUUUAAAUAUUUACAUACACAGAGUUCUACAAUUGAUGGGCAGUUUUUAAUUUGGGAUAUUGUUAACAUUGUUACACAUUUCUGCAGUGUGAUUGUGACCUGGUGAUAUUUUAAUUACAGUAUAGUUUGUACUGUAAUAUUGUGACAUUUGGGCCAAAGACAUUUUCAGUAUGCAUUAUUUUAGUUUGCCGUGUUUGCAACUGUAGUAAGACUGUAGUUAUGUUUAGCCUACAUGUUCAGAAUAUUAACAAUUGUGAGGCAUAAAAAGUGUAAGUGCUAAGAGUCGUACAAUUGAUGUAAGUGCGCUAGUUAAUGUUGAACAUUUUUACUGUUGUUACCAACUUUACAGUGUGGUUGUGACCCAGUAAUAUUUCAACUACAGUUUGUACUGUAAUAUUGUGAAACUUUGGUGAAAGAUACUGUUGAGUAUGUUUUAUUUUGGUUUGCCUUGUUUGCACAAAGCUUAAACGGUCAAAAUUAAUUAUUUACAUUGACAUAAUUGUGAUACUUCAUUGAUGUAUAUAUGUGCAUAGAGUUGUACUAUUGAUGUACUACACUAGUUAAUUUUGUUACCACCUUUACAUUGUGGAUGUGACCCAUUUCCAUUACGGUAUGGGUUUACUGUAUUUUCAUUAAUAUUGUGACAUUUUGUCAAUAAAAGGUCAAAG